UGGAUGAGUGGCGAACGGGUGAGUAACACGUGAGUAACCUGCCCUCUUCUUUGGAUAACGCCCGGAAACGGGUGCUAAUACUGGGUAUUCACUGAUCUUCGCAUGGGGGUUGGUGGAAAGGUUUUUUCUGGUGGGGGAUGGGCUCGCGGCCUAUCAGCUUGUUGGUGGGGUGAUGGCCUACCAAGGCUUUGACGGGUAGCCGGCCUGAGAGGGUGACCGGUCACAUUGGGACUGAGAUACGGCCCAG
rnacentral:rRNA from 1 species